UACGUAGGGGGGCAAGCGUUGUCCGGAAUCCAUUGGGCGUAAAGAGCUUGUAGGCGGUUUGUCGCGUCUGCUGUGAAAUCCGGGGCUCAACCCCGGACUUGCAGUGGGUACGGGCAGACUAGAGUGUGGUUAGGGGAGACUGGGAAUUCCUGGUGUAGCGGUGAAAUGCGCAGCAUAUCAGGAGGAACCACCGAUGGGCGA
rnacentral:rRNA from 1 species